AAAAAUAAUUGUGCAAAUCAAUUUAUGGUAAUAAGAUAAUCUUACUAGCUUUUAAUAAAUUAAACAUAAUUACAUAUAAACUUCUGAGUAUGUGUUACUGAAAAGAAUUUAAUAGUGAUAGUGAAAAGUACCGUGAGGGAAAGAACUAACUUUUGAAAAAAGAAGAAUUUUAUUCGUACCUUGUGUAUCAGGGUCAAGCAAUUUAUAGCAUAAAUUUGUAUAUCCCGAAAUAAAGUGAGUUACAGAAUUAGAAAGGUAUAUGUAGCAAUAUAUUCUUUAAUUUUUUUGUAGGGUGAAACGCAAGUCGAACUUUUAUAUCUGGUUUUUAAAGAAAUGAAUUUAAUUCAGGUAAACUUUGUUUAAUUUACAAUAAAAAGAAAAUUUAAAUAAGGUUUAGCUAAGUUUAAAAGGGAUGAGCUUUUUAAACAAAAUAAUUAAAAGACAAAAAUAUUUAUAUUUAUAAGCGGUGUAUUAAGACUUAAUAAUAGUAGAAAUUAAAAUGUUUGUUUUAAUUUACACCAUAAAUGUUAAAAUUUAUUAUUUUUUCUUUUUCUAUUUAAACUUUAAUUUUAACUUAAAAAAUUAUGAGAUGAUGCUUGAAUAAGUAAAAUUUAUUGGAUAUUUUUAAUUUAAAUUUUUGUUAAAAUUUAUUAAACAUUAGAUUUAAAAAAGGAACUCGGCAAAUACUCUUUUCGCAUGUUUAUCAAAAACAUCGCCUUAAAAUGAAUUUAAGGUACUGCCUGCUCAAUGCUUUAAGUAAAUAGCCGCAGUAUUUUGACUGUGCUAAGGUAGCAUAAUCAUUAGUCUUUUAAUUGAAGGCUGGUAUGAAUGGCAAGACGAGAAAGAAGCUGUCUCUUUUAAAAAAUUGAAUUUCAUUUUUAAGUGAAAAAGCUUAAAUGUAUUUAAGGGACGAUCAGACCCUAUGGAGCUUUAUUUCGUUGAUUAGUUAAAUUUAUAUUUUAAAGUUAAUUAUUUAACGAAAUUUUGUUGGGGCGACAAAGAGAUAAAAAUAACACUCUUUUUAUUAAACAUAAAUAAAUGAAUAAUUGAUCCCUAAAGAAGGAUUAAAAGACUAAGUUACCCUAGGGAUAACAGCGUAAUUUUUUUGGAGAGUUCAAAUCGAUAAAAAAGUUUGCGACCUCGAUGUUGGAUUAGGAAUUUAACUAGGUGCAGAAGUUUAGUUGUAGAGUCUGUUCGACUUUUAAAAUCCUACAUGAUCUGAGUUCAAACCGGCGUAAGCCAGGUUGGUUUCUAUCUUUAAAUUAAAUAUUUCUUUUUUAGUACGAAAGGAUUAAAAAGAACUAAAAUUUAGUAAAAACGAAUAAUAGUAAUAGAGUUAAA
rnacentral:rRNA from 1 species